UGAGGAAUAUUGGUCAAUGGGCGAGAGCCUGAACCAGCCAAGUAGCGUGCAGGAUGACGGCCCUAUGGGUUGUAAACUGCUUUUAUAAGGGAAUAAAGUGAGUCUCGUGAGACUUUUUGCAUGUACCUUAUGAAUAAGGACCGGCUAAUUCCGUGCCAGCAGCCGCGGUAAUACGGAAGGUCCGGGCGUUAUCCGGAUUUAUUGGGUUUAAAGGGCGCGUAGGCGGUUAUGUAAGUCAGAUGUGAAAUACUUCGGCUUAACCGAAGAACUGCAUUUGAUACUACAUAGCUAGAGUACAGAAGAGGGAAAUGGAAUUCCCGGUGUAGAGGUGAAAUUCGUAGAUAUUACACAGAACACCAAUUGCGUAGGCAGCUUACUGAGCCGACACUGACGCUGAGGCACGAAAGCGUGGGGAUCGAACA
rnacentral:rRNA from 1 species